rnacentral:RNase_P_RNA from 2 species
GAAGCUAAUCAGAUGAUCGCGGGGGUAAGGACCGAAAGGUCGCCUCUGAGGAAAGUCCGAGCUCCACAGGGCAAGGUGCUGGGUAACACCCAGUGGGGGAAACCCCAAGGAAAGUGCAACAGAGAGAUACCGCCGAUCAAGGAGGUCAGUUGUCAGAGGCCUGAGGUCAGAAUAAAUUCGUUCUCAGCCGAAUUCUGGCUUCCGGCUUCUGACUACUGGCUUCCGGGUAGGUAAGGGUGGAAAGGCGAGGUAAGAGCUCACCGGCAGUCAGGUGACUGGCUGGCCAUGUAAACCCCACCUGGAGCAAGACUGAAUAGGGGAACUAUGAACGGCCCGUUUUUGUUCCCGGGUAAGGUCGCUAGAGGCCGUCGGUAACGGCGGUUCGAGAUAGAUGAUCAUCACCUCCAUAUGGAGGGACAGAACUCGGCUUAUAGGUUGGCUUCGCUC